rnacentral:rRNA from 1 species
CCUACGGGUGGCAGCAGUGGGGAAUAUUGGACAAUGGGCGAAAGCCUGAUCCAGCCAUGCCGCGUGUGUGAAGAAGGCCUUCGGAUUGUAAAGCACUUUCAGUGGGGAAGAAAGCCUUGGGGCUAAUACCCUCGAGGAAGGACAUCACCCACAGAAGAAGCACCGGCUAACUCCGUGCCAGCAGCCGCGGUAAUACGGAGGGUGCGAGCGUUAAUCGGAAUUACUGGGCGUAAAGCGCGCGUAGGCGGUCUGAUAAGCCGGUUGUGAAAGCCCCGGGCUCAACCUGGGAACGGCAUCCGGAACUGUCAGGCUAGAGUGCAGGAGAGGAAGGUAGAAUUCCCGGUGUAGCGGUGAAAUGCGUAGAGAUCGGGAGGAAUACCAGUGGCGAAGGCGGCCUUCUGGACUGACACUGACGCUGAGGUGCGAAAGCGUGGGUAGCAAACAGGAUUAGAUACCCCUGUAGUC